GCAAGUCGAACGGCAGCGCGGACUUCGGUCUGGCGGCGAGUGGCGAACGGGUGAGUAAUGUAUCGGAACGUGCCUAGUAGCGGGGGAUAACUACUCGAAAGAGUGGCUAAUACCGCAUACGCCCUACGGGGGAAAGGGGGGGAUCGCAAGACCUCUCACUAUUAGAGCGGCCGAUAUCGGAUUAGCUAGUUGGUGAGGUAAAGGCUCACCAAGGCGACGAUCCGUAGCUGGUUUGAGAGGACGACCAGCCACACUGGGACUGAGACACGGCCCAGACUCCUACGGGAGGCAGCAGUGGGGAAUUUUGGACAAUGGGGGAAACCCUGAUCCAGCCAUUCCGCGUGUGCGAUGAAGGCCUUCGGGUUGUAAAGCACUUUUGGCAGGAAAGAAAUCGCACCAAUUAAUACUUGGUGUGGAUGACGGUACCUGCAGAAUAAGCACCGGCUAACUACGUGCCAGCAGCCGCGGUAAUACGUAGGGUGCAAGCGUUAAUCGGAAUUACUGGGCGUAAAGCGUGCGCAGGCGGUUCGGAAAGAGAGGUGUGAAAUCCCAGGGCUCAACCUUGGAACUGCACUUUUAACUACCGAGCUAGAGUAUGUCAGAGGGGGGUGGAAUUCCGCGUGUAGCAGUGAAAUGCGUAGAUAUGCGGAGGAACACCGAUGGCGAAGGCAGCCCCCUGGGAUAAUACUGACGCUCAUGCACGAAAGCGUGGGGAGCAAACAGGAUUAGAUACUCUGGUAGUCCACGCCCUAAACGAUGUCAACUAGCUGUUGGGGCCUUCGGGCCUUAGUAGCGCAGCUAACGCGUGAAGUUGACCGCCUGGGGAGUACGGUCGCAAGAUUAAAACUCAAAGGAAUUGACGGGGACC
rnacentral:rRNA from 1 species